rnacentral:rRNA from 1 species
AUUGAACGCUGGCAGCAUGCCUUACACAUGCAAGUCGAACGGCAGCAUGGGUGCUUGCACCUGAUGGCGAGUGGCGAACGGGUGAGUAAUACAUCGGAACGUACCCGGAAGUGGGGGAUAACGUAGCGAAAGUUACGCUAAUACCGCAUAUUCUGUGAGCAGGAAAGAGGGGGAUCGCAAGACCUCUCGCUUUCGGAGCGGCCGAUGUCAGAUUAGCUAGUUGGUAGGGUAAAAGCCUACCAAGGCGACGAUCUGUAGCGGGUCUGAGAGGAUGAUCCGCCACGCUGGGACGGAGACACGGCCCAGACUCCUACGGGAGGCAGCAGUGGGGAAUUUUGGACAAUGGGGGCAACCCUGAUUCAGCCAUGCCGCGUGAGUGAAGAAGGCCUUCGGGUUGUAAAGCUCUUUCGGCCGGGAAGAAAUCGCACAGGCUAAUACCUUGUGUGGAUGACGGUACCGGAAUAAGAAGCACCGGCUAACUACGUGCCAGCCGCCGCCGUAAUAC